rnacentral:rRNA from 1 species
AAUGUAGAGUUGGUUGUAGCUGGCCUUUUAAUCGAGGCAUGUGCACGCCUUCUCUUUUCAUCCACACACACACCUGUGCACCUGUUGGACGGGCUGGGAAAAGCUCUCCGGGGGGGUACGGUCCGUCUAUCGCUACAUAAACUCUUAUAUAUUUUUAAUCAGAAUGUAAUCGAUGUAAAACGCAUCUAUAAACUAAGUUUCAACAACGGAUCUCUUGGCUCUCGCAUCGAUGAAGAACGCAGCGAAAUGCGAUAAGUAAUGUGAAUUGCAGAAUUCAGUGAAUCAUCGAAUCUUUGAACGCACCUUGCGCUCCUUGGUAUUCCUCGGAGCACGCCUGUUUGAGUAUCAUGAAAUUCUCAAAGCAAGUCUUUUGUUAAUUCAACUGGCUUUUGCUUUGGAUUUGGAGGUCUUGCAGAUUCACGUCUGCUCCUCUUAAAUGCAUUAGCUGGAUCUCUUUAAACUUGGUUCCACUCGGCGUGAUAAGUAUCACUCGCUGAGGACACCCUUUAAAAAAGGUGGCCAGGGAAUUUAUAGAUGAACCGCUUCUAAUAGUCUAUUGAAUUAGACAAACAUACUAUUAUGAUCUGAUCUCAAAUCAGGUGGGACUACCCGCUGAACUUAA